rnacentral:rRNA from 1 species
CCUACGGGUGGCAGCAGUGAGGAAUAUUGGUCAAUGGACGAGAGUCUGAACCAGCCAAGUAGCGUGAAGGAUGACUGCCCUAUGGGUUGUAAACUUCUUUUAUAUGGGAAUAAAAUGUUCCACGUGUGGGAUUUUGUAUGUACCAUAUGAAUAAGGAUCGGCUAACUCCGUGCCAGCAGCCGCGGUAAUACGGAGGAUCCGAGCGUUAUCCGGAUUUAUUGGGUUUAAAGGGAGCGUAGGUGGAUUGUUAAGUUCGUUGUGAAAGUUUGCGGCUCAACCGUAGAAUUGCAGUUGAAACUGGCAGUCGUGAGUACAGUAGAGGUGGGCGGAAUGCGUGGUGUAGCGGUGAAAUGCUUAGAUAGCACGAAGAACUCCGAUUGCGAAGGCAGCUCACUGGACUGCAACUGACACUGAGGCACGAAAGUGUGGGUAUCAAACAGGAUUAGAUACCCUGGUAGUC